AUUGAACGCUGGCGGCAUGCCUUACACAUGCAAGUCGAACGGCAGCACGGGAGCAAUCCUGGUGGCGAGUGGCGAACGGGUGAGUAAAGUAUCGGAACGUGCCCAGUCGUGGGGGAUAACGUAGCGAAAGUUACGCUAAUACCGCAUACGAUCUAUGGAUGAAAGCGGGGGAUCGCAAGACCUCGCGCGAUUGGAGCGGCCGAUAUCAGAUUAGGUAGUUGGUGGGGUAAAGGCUCACCAAGCCGACGAUCUGUAGCUGGUCUGAGAGGACGAACAGACACACUGGAACUGAGACACGGCCCAGACUCCUACGGGAGGCAGCAGUGGGGAAUUUUGGACAAUGGGCGAAAGCCUGAUCCAGCCAUGCCGCGUGCAGGAUGAAGGCCUUCGGGUUGUAAACUGCUUUUGUACGGAACGAAAAGGUUUGGCCUAAUAAGCUGAGCUCAUGACGGUACCGUAAGAAUAAGCACCGGCUAACUACGUGCCAGCAGCCGCGGUAA
rnacentral:rRNA from 1 species